AGAGUUUGAUCCAUGGCUCAGAGCGAACGCUGGCGGCAGGCCUAAUACAUGCAAGUCGAACGCCCCUUCGGGGGAGUGGCGGACGGGUGAGUAACGCGUGGGAACGUGCCCUUUGGUUCGGAACAACACAGGGAAACUUGUGCUAAUACCGAAUGUGCCCUUCGGGGGAAAGAUUUAUCGCCAUUGGAGCGGCCCGCGUUGGAUUAGCUAGUUGGUGGGGUAAAGGCCCACCAAGGCUACGAUCCAUAGCUGGUCUGAGAGGAUGAUCAGCCACACUGGGACUGAGACACGGCCCAGACUCCUACGGGAGGCAGCAGUAGGGAAUCUUGCGCAAUGGGCGAAAGCCUGACGCAGCCAUGCCGCGUGAAUGAUGAAGGUCUUAGGAUUGUAAAA
rnacentral:rRNA from 1 species